rnacentral:rRNA from 1 species
UGGCGGACUGGUGAGUAACACAUGGGUAACCUGCCCUGGAGAUCGGGACAGCAGCUGGAAACGGCUGGUAAUACCGGAUACGUUCCCCUGGCCGCAUGGCCUUGGGAAGAAAGGUGGCCUAUCCUUGGAAGCUACCGCUCCUGGAGGGGCCCGUGGCUCAUUAGCUUGUUGGUGGGGUAACGGCUCACCAAGGCUACGAUGGGUAGCUGGUCUGAGAGGAUGACCAGCCACACUGGGACUGAGAUACGGCCCAGACUCCUACGGGAGGCAGCAGUGAGGAAUUUUUCGCAAUGGACGAAAGUCUGACGAAGCGACGCCGCGUGGGUGAAGAAGGUUUUCGGAUCGUAAAGCCCUGUCAGGGGGAAAGAACCCUUGCCAUGUGAAUAAUGUGGCAAGUUGACGGUACCUCCAAAGGAAGCUCCGGCCAACUACGUGCCAGCAGCCGCGGUAAUACGUAGGGAGCAAGCGUUAUCCGGAAUCACUGGGCGUAAAGAGCUCGUAGGCUGUUGAGUAAGUCGAAUGUUAAAGACCCCGGCUCAACCGGGGGAAUGCGUUCGAUACUGCCUGACUAGAGGACGGGAGAGGUAAGCGGAAUUCAUGGUGUAGCGGUGAAAUGCAUAGAUAUCAUGAAGAACACCAGUGGCGAAGGCGGCUUACUGGACCGUUCCUGACGCUGAGGAGCGAAAGCCAGGGGAGCAAACGGGAUUAGAUACCCCGGUAGUCCUGGCCGUAAACGAUGGGCACUAGGUGUGGGAGGUAUCGACCCCUUCCGUGCCGAAGCUAACGCAUUAAGUGCCCCGCCCUGGGUAGUACGGCCGCAAGGUUAAAACUCAAAGGAAUUGACGGGGACCCGCACAAGCGGUGGAGCAUGUGGUUUAAUUCG